GAGUGGCGCACGGGUGAGUAACGCGUGGAUAUCUGCCUUUUGGUUCGGAAUAACCCCGGGAAACUGGGGCUAAUACCGGAUGGUUCCUUCGGGAUAAAGAUUUAUCGCCAAAAGAUGAGCCCGCAUUUGAUUAGUUAGUUGGUGAGGUAAUGGCUCACCAAGACAAUGAUCAAUAGCUGAUCUGAGAGGAUGAUCAGCCACACUGGGACUGAGACACGGCCCAGACUCC
rnacentral:rRNA from 1 species